GUCUACGGCCAUGCCACCCCGAACACACCCGAUCCCGUCUGAUCUCGGAAGCUAAGCAGGGUCGGGCCUGGUUAGUACUUGGAUGGGAGACCACCUAGGAAGACCAGGUGCUGUAGGCG
rnacentral:rRNA from 1 species